UCACCUACGGGGGGCAGCAGUGGGGGAUAUUGCACAAUGGGGGAAACCCUGAUGCAGCGACGCCGCGUGGGCGAAGAAGUAUUUCGGUAUGUAAAGCCCUAUCAGCAGGGAAGAAGAAAUGACGGUACCUGACUAAGAAGCCCCGGCUAACUACGUGCCAGCAGCCGCGGUAAUACGUAGGGGGCGAGCGUUAUCCGGAUUCACUGGGUGUAAAGGGAGCGUAGACGGCCAUGCAAGCCAGGGGUGAAAGCCCGGGGCCCAACCCCGGGACUGCCCUUGGAACUGCAUGGCUGGAGUGCGGGAGG
rnacentral:rRNA from 1 species